rnacentral:tRNA from 1 species
CAAAGUAGAGCUAGAUCUAGUUUAGCGUCUCACUUACGUUGAGAAGAGUUAUUGUGCAAUUCAGUAUGCUUUGA